UGCGGGCCCUCGGGGCCCACCUCCCACCCGUGUUGCCCGAACCUAUGUUGCCUCGGCGGGCCCCGCGCCCGCCGACGGCCCCCCUGAACGCUGUCUGAAGUUGCAGUCUGAGACCUAUAACGAAAUUAGUUAAAACUUUCAACAACGGAUCUCUUGGUUCCGGCAUCGAUGAAGAACGCAGCGAAAUGCGAUAACUAAUGUGAAUUGCAGAAUUCAGUGAAUCAUCGAGUCUUUGAACGCACAUUGCGCCCUCUGGUAUUCCGGAGGGCAUGCCUGUCCGAGCGUCAUUGCUGCCCUCAAGCCCGGCUUGUGUGUUGGGCCCCGUCCCCCCCGCCGGGGGGACGGGCCCGAAAGGCAGCGGCGGCACCGCGUCCGGUCCUCGAGCGUAUGGGGCUUCGUCACCCGCUCUAGUAGGCCCGGCCGGCGCCAGCCGACCCCCAACCUUUAAUUAUCUCAGGUUGACCUCGGAUCAGGUAGGGAUACCCGCUGAACUUAAGCAUAUCAAUAAAGCGGGAAGUAAACGAGUGCGGGCCCCUCGGGGCCAACCUCACCGUGUUGCCGAACUAUGUUGCCUCGGCGGGCCGCGCCGCACGGCCCCUGAACCUGUCUGAAGUUGCAGUCUGAGACCUAUAACGAAAUUAGUUUAAAACUUUCACAACGGAUCUCUUGGAUUCGGCAUCGAUGAAGAAGCAGCGAAAUGCGAUAACUAAUGUGAAUUGCAGAAUU
rnacentral:rRNA from 1 species